UUCUUAUCCAGAGAGGUGGAGGGACUGGCCCAAGGAAGCCUCGGCAACAGACUUAUUUGAUUAAGUACUGUGCCAAUUCCAGUAGCGUAAUUGCUAGAAGAUGAGAA
rnacentral:ncRNA from 20 species